rnacentral:rRNA from 1 species
UACAGAGGGUGCAAGCGUUGUUCGGAAUUACUGGGCGUAAAGCGCGCGCAGGCGGAUCCUGCAAGUCCGGAGUGAAAUCUCACUGCUCAACGGUGAGGCUGCUUUGGAUACUGCGGAUCUGGAGACCGGUAGAGGCUGGUAGAAUUGCAGGUGUAGCGGUGGAAUGCGUAGAGAUCUGCAAGAAUACCCGUGGCGAAGGCGGCUCUCUGGGACGGUACUGACGCUGAGACGCGAAAGCGUGGGGAGCGAACAGG